CACGUAGGGCGCAAGCGUUGUCCGGAAUUAUUGGGCGUAAAGAGCGUGUAGGCGGCCAGGUAGGUCUGCUGUGAAAACUCGAGGCUUAACCUCGAGAUGUCGGCGGAAACCAUCUGGCUAGAGUCCGGAAGAGGAGAGUGGAAUUCCUGGUGUAGCGGUGGAAUGCGCAGAUAUCAGGAAGAACACCCGUGGCGAAGGCGGCUCUCUGGGACGGUACUGACGCUGAGACGCGAAAGCGUGGGGAGCGAACAGG
rnacentral:rRNA from 1 species